rnacentral:misc_RNA from 1 species
UCCUACAUACAAGAUACAGUAGCUGUAAUAGACUUCCUAGCAGCAAGAUAUGCAAACAAGCCAAGUCUUGCGGCAAUCGAGUUGAUGAAUGAGCCUACGGCCCCAGGCAUCAGUAUAGACACUCUUAUAAAGUAUUAUCAAGCAGGUUAUGAAGCUGUCAGGAAGUACAGUCAAAGUGCUUAUGUGAUCCUUUCAAACAGGCUAGGACCUGCUGAUCCAAAGGAACUGCUCUCUUUUGCAAGCAACCUUAAUGGUGUAGUCAUUGAUGUGCAUUAUUACAACCUGUUUUCAGAUAUGUUCACGAACAUGAAUGCACAACAAAAUAUUGAUUUCAUCCACAAUCAGCGUUCUAGUGAUCUC